UACAGAGGGUGCAAGCGUUAAUCGGAAUUACUGGGCGUAAAGCGUGCGUAGACGGUUACAUAAGUCGGGUGUGGAAGCCCCGGGCUCAACCUGGGAAUUGCAUUCGAGACUGCGUAGCUAGGGUGCGGAAGAGGGAAGCGGAAUUUCCGGUGUAGCGGUGAAAUGCGUAGAUAUGCGGAGGAACACCGAUGGCGAAGGCAAUCCCCUGGACCUGUACUGACGCUCAUGCACGAAAGCGUGGGGAGCAAACAGG
rnacentral:rRNA from 1 species